AAAUUUUUUUGAUACACAUAUAGAUUAACUUUUUUUUUGCUAAAAUGAAAAUUGUUUAAAAUGUCACCAAUUCCCCCUCCCCCCAAAAAGUUCUGUUUUUACAAAAGGCCAUUUUUAUGAGAAAUUUCCAUGCACAAAAAUUUCAGCUCUGGUUCAUCUUUUUCGUUGGUGUGUGUGUGUGCGCGCGCAUGCUUAAAGCGUGUUGAAAGUGGGGAAAAAAUGACAUUCCCUGUAUGCGUAAGGGAAUGAGUUAAGGUUGUGCAUGCAGCCUUGACUUCCUGGCUUCAGCGUGGUAUGCCAUGCAACUUUAAUCUUCUAUUAAUGCACUUAUGUAUGCAAUAUAGUGUAUAUAAAUACAAGGGGACCUGUGGGUUUUACUAAAAAUGAUGGUUUUGCCCUGAGGCUUUUUAUCCCAGUUGAAAAAGAGUCAGGAAACAGGUCAAGCUCAUGGCACAUGUGUAUGCAUAUGCACAUUUGCAUUACACGUCACAUCUAUGUCUUGCCUAUCUAUAAAAGACAUUACCUCACCCACGUUGUCUCUCUCGUAGUCUGGGACCAACACCAUCCAUCCACUGGCUAGUAUCUGAGCACAUCUGCUCUACACUUCUUAGCUGACAAUGAAAUGUACAAGACUCCUAACACACCAAACACUUAUAAGACUGGGAUUCAUUACAGUACCUUCUUCAUCAGUGGAGAAGAAGAUUGGUGUGAUUUGUUCAUGGCAGACAAUGCAAAUUAAUAGUCUAACUUUAGGCCUACCAGUUUUCACAAUGUCCCUUAACGUAUCAGAUUAUAUUUAAUUACUACUAUUACCACAAUAAGGGAAGCUCUGUAGGGAAGCUAAACUGUAUGUUUAGCAGAAGGUCUAGAGUAAACAGUACUGUUAGCACAGGUAGGUUGAGUUGGACUUUUGAGAACAUUUGGAGAAGGUUUUCAACCUAUUCCAUGUAUGUUUUUGUUCCUGGUUUCCUGUUUCUCUCUCUGGCACUCUCCCUCUAGUGAGGAUAGCAAAAAUAUGACUAGGAAAGUAUUGCUAUAAUGGGUAUGUAAGGGGCUUCCUCAUUCCCUCGCCCCAAAGAAUAAAACAUUUUGCCAGUGUAGAACUUGCAAUCUCUCGUAAGCCUGAGGUGACUGGGAAAGGUUGUGUGCAAUCUGUCUAGCUCAUGAAGCUCUGAGAUCAGUAGUAUGACAAACCUGGCUGUGCACUGUCAGACAUUCAUGGAAGGCUCACACACUUACUAUGCAUUUCCUUUAGCAGCCACUGUAUGUCACGUCUGGGAUCUAUGAAUCUGUUGGAAGAUAUUUACCGCCUGUUUCAAAAUGCAAGUGCAAGGCAGAUGAAAUUAAUUAGACAUUUCAUUUUUCUGCUUUGCUAUCUAAAAUUUCAAAUGGAGGCCGACAGAGGAUACAUUUCCCUCCGUAUAAAAUGUAUAGGUUAUAUUAUGAGUAGCCUAAACAUUAGUACACGGUACAGUGUCAGCUUACAUAAUAAAACAGGGAUUGCAAUAAUCCUGCAUAAAGUCUACUUUGUAUGUUGAGAAGUAUUAUGCAGCAGGGUCCAACAUGAAAAGAAUCAUGUCUCUUAUUCCACCACUCUGGCCAAGUACCACGUUGUCUUUACUGGAAGACUAGUGUUCAUCAUGUGUUUAAAACUAAGAGUGGGAGAAGUUGGGACAUAACAUUCUUGGGAGAUGACACUAUAAAUAAUACUGCCUUGCUUUGCCUUUGUGUAGCUAGUACAUCUGGAAUAUUAUAGUGUGAGCAGAGAGAGCAUGCUAUAGUUAAGGUUGAGUUCCAGCUUCUAUUUAAUGUCCCUUUUUUCAGCUUUUCAUAACUUUCUCAAACAAGUAGGCUAGACAAAUAGACUCUAAACUAGGAGACAUGCUCAUCAGGAUUCAAAAUUCCUCUCUGCCUAUUCCCCCUUUGGAGAGAUACUCGUCAAUAGGAGUCAAGCCAACAGCUCUACAUCAAGGAAUGUACAAUUUCCACAAGUGUAUAGUGUUGGAUCAAGAAAAUUACAGGCUCUGGCAGCUAUAGGGCUCUGAUUUUUCCCCUGUUCCUCUCUUUUAGUAAGCAAAUAAUCAAGGACAUUCCAUGCAAAAACGUAGGUAGAUAAGAAUGGACUUUAUAGAAUGCAGACUGGAAGCUCCUCUUCAUUUAGAGAGAAACAUAAAUGUUGGUAUAUGCCUGGCUCAAUGCGUGUGUGUGUGCAUGGGCACACAUGCAGGUUAGUGACUUUUUGAUUUCUACAUACAAGAAUCACAUACAUUAUAGCAAUGCUGUUAUUCUAAAGGUGUCACAUCUCAUGCCAGGAUUCUUGUUUUCCUCUGUCCACUGUGUUUCAGUGGUUACAUUAGAGACCGGACACUUUUUUUUCAAAGAGAUGGUUAUGGUUUUUACCCACAAUGAUGUUUUUAGUGGCUUGUAUUUCUGAUGUAUGCUAAGUCACUGCACUGCAUGUGAGAAAUGUUUUUCAGUAACUGGGCUGGCAGGUCUAUAGUCUCAGUCAAGGGUGACUGGCAUGAGCCAGACAUUUCUGGUGUCCACGGUGUCUGUCCUGGAACCCUUGCAAACUUUGAAGACCAAUGUUAUCACUGUUAGGCUGAGGUGGAUACUGACGUGAGCUCUGGUACACAGGAACUGGGCAGAGGCCAUUUAGUUGAAAGAUGCUAGUGAGAUCUUUUAUCAAAGGAAACAAAUGGCAUAAUAACAAUGUUUUUGUUAAUUUCUCACAAGUACUUUAUGGCUCCAUGGAAAGUGGAACGUUGACAAAAAUCUUGAAAACAGUCAGGACUUCAUAAUAAAUUGCAAUGGUGAAAAUAUUUAUUUUUUUCCUUUGGUGAAGUCCCUUUUCUUUGGGAACAUUUUCUUCGUGGUUCAGCAGGACAUGGAGGCUGAUGGUGCAUGAAAACAUAUCACAUUGGUGAGUAUACUUUGCAGCAAAAUCAGUACAAAGAAUGUCCAAACCUUUUGUUUCCUUACCACAUUGCUCCCUUACUUUUCUUUCUUUCAUCUGUUUCCCAGGCUUGCCUCCCCCACAAGCAGGCAGUUCUAGAAAAGAGUAAAAGGAUCCAACCAGUAAACAGAGACCUUAAAAACUGAGGCUAGAAAUGAGAAGGGAAUUUCCCUUUACAUUGUAAGGUUCUUUGAUGUUCUGAAGUUCCACUGAAAUGGUAACACUUCAAAACUUGGUAAGCAGGGAAGCACUAAUGGUGAAGUUCAGGAGCAGGCAGGGGACUGAGAGAAAAUUAGUUAUUGCUGAGUCUGCCCAAAAUGCAGAGAGAGAGACUAAACAAUAGAAAAACCCUCACUACGCUGUGGUGGGAAGUGAAGGGGUGUGUGUAUAUAAGACUGAGAGAGACAGUGAGAGAGACUAAGUGUUUCUUACGGUCCCUCAUCAAUUGGAGGAGGAUAGAAGAAAGGGUGACCAUAUGACACACGUGCCAGCCCUGCUCCCACAUUCCUGUCCUGAGGUUCCUCUUAAUAGGUAUAUAAGGUUUUGCACAUUUUGUACUGCAGAUCCAAGUAUGUAUGAAGAGCUUUUAAAACCAGACUAUGGAUUCUGUUUAAAGGAAAGCUCACAUGACAUAAUAGCAACAGUGACAAAUCGAACGAGAGAGAACAUAUUUGAGAGAGUUUAUCAAACAAGAGGAUGAGGUGGGUAGGAAGUUUAUGUAACCCAUGUGCCUAAUAGGGAGAUAUCGCUUUCAGAGACCUAUGUGGAGGAUAGGAGUGAGUUGUGUCUGGGUUAUUAUUGCUAGGCAGGAGGGAUAGCUCAGUGGUUUGAGCAUUGGCUUGCUAAACUCAGAGUUAUGAGUUCAAUCCUUGAGGAGACCAUUUGGGGAUUGGCUCCUGCUUUGAACAGGGGUUUGGACUAGAUGACCUGUUGAGGUCAAUUCUAUUAGCCAUCCAGAAGCCUCUGGAUUUUGGGUGGGGUAAUUUGGGGUAUGCUUCAACAGACUCCAUAAGGGUAGCUGCUUUACAAAGGGCCAUCUGUGAGUUGGGAGAAGCUGAGCCAAGGAGCAGAAAGCAGGCUGUUGUCCCUAACUCUGAAGCAUUUUGCAGCAGGUUAGUGAUAUUGUUAACCCUCAAACAGGGAAACAUGGGCAAUGUUAAUAAUAGCAAGGGGAAAUUAGAAGGGAAAAAUAAUUUAUUCUAUUUUAAUUGUAUGCUUUGAAUGUUGUUUUGAUUUUAGCCAAACUGUUCUAGUUAAAUUGUCUCAACUAGUGUGAUUCAUCAACUUUCCUUUAAAUGUAGUAAUGGGGAAAGAGUCAUUUAUAUUUUGUUAUUCUCAGAUUUGUAUUUUCUUGUAACAGGGUUUUUUUUUUUAAUCUACACUUAACUGAUUAAUCAGUUAGCUGACUGGCUAACAGUGAUUUCAGAAGAGGAAGGGUCUGCAUGGAUUCCAAUUGAAGAUUCCUACAAGCAAGUAGAGGGAAGAUGUUGUUUUUUGACUCCGCAGACUAGAUUUGGUGAUCAAAGACUCUAACUGAGAUUCAGGGCUUGUUUACAUGGUAGAUCACUGUGCGGCAAUGUGAAUCUACAGUGCACUGGCUCACCGUGCAGUAAUGUUCUGUGUGGACACUGUUUUGAAAGACCAAGUGCAGCUUGACAUACAAUACUUUCAAGUAUUUUUCCAUAAGCAGGAGAAUGCUAUCCUCGUGCCCUGAUGACUUUCAUACCUCAGGAGUUUGGUCCUCCAUGAGAGCGUUCCUCCUAAGUGAUGGUGAGAUCCAGUCUCUGGUGCCCUUGAAGAAGACUUGGUUUUCAUUUUAAAAAUGAAAACCAUGUUUCUAGCCACUUCCCUGGGCUGCACUUCUCUAGGAUGAAGCUGGUGGUUUAGCAACCUGAAUGGAACUUGGAGAGAGGAGCACAGGUUGCAGGAGGGAAGAGUUUGGAGAAAGCACCAAGAAGUCACUCUGUGUGUACAUGGCUGGAAUGCUAACUGCAGUUGGGGCACCUCUGUAAGUUGUUCUCUUAAUAAAGAACCAGUUUAGUUUUAGAAACAAUGUCAUUUCAUGUUAUUACCAGGUAUGUGGUACAUGAAACAAAGGGAGCUAAAGAUAUGUACACACUCACACACUUUUUAUGUGAAGGAAUCAGCUAUG